CACGUAGUUAGCCGUGGCUUAUUCGACAGGUACCGUCUUCUACUCUUCCCUGUCAAAAGAAGUUUACAACCCGAAAGCCUUCUUCCUUCACGCGGCGUUGCUGGGUCAGGCUUGCGCCCAUUGCCCAAUAUUCCCCACUGCUGCCUCCCGUAGGAGUCUGGGCCGUAUCUCAGUCCCAAUGUGGCCGGCCAACCUCUCAGUCCGGCUACUGAUCGUCGCCUUGGUGAGCCGUUACCUCACCAACUAGCUAAUCAGACGCGAGGCCAUCUUUCAGCGAUAAAUCUUUGACAUAAAUGCCAUGCGGCACCUAUGUGUUAUGCGGUAUUAGCAGUCGUUUCCAACUGUUGUCCCCCUCUGAAAGGCAGGUUCCUCACGCGUUACUCACCCGUCCGCCACUAAGCAACCUAUUCCGUUGACCGAAAUCUCCUUCAUAGGCGCUCCGUUCGACUUGCAUGUGUUAAGCACGCCGCCAGCGUUCGUCCUGAGCCAGGAUCAAACUCU
rnacentral:rRNA from 1 species